UCACUAUCUUUGUCUAUCCGUAUCUGUUUUGAAAUUCUCAGGUUAAGAGGUCGGUUUGUUCUGUGAUGAAGAAAACCAGAGCCGGAUUAGACGAGAUAACCUCAUGAGGGCAUCACUUUGACGUCAAAGCGAGAAGUCAAUCAGAUAUCGCGAUCAAGUUUAUUGCAACUCUCAGCCGUUGUUGGGGCUUUACUUGAGCAAUUGUAGUUACGAAAGCGAGGAGGAUCUUGGAGUGAUAUAAAUAUAUAGCCAUGGAAGUUCCAACCCAGGGGAAGCCCAGAGUGCUCUGCCUCCAUGGAUUCAGGACCAGUGCCAACAUUCUCCACAAGUUGAUCGGAAGAUUGCCGGACACUGUUCUCCAGAAGCUUGACCUCGUCUUCCUGGAUGGGCCCUUCCCUGCGCGGGGCAAAUCUGACGUUGAAUCCAUCUAUGAUCCUCCUUACUUCGAAUGGUUCCAGUCCAACGGGGAUUUCACAGAUUUCAUGAACUUCGAAGAAUGCCUUGCUUACAUUGAAGAUUACAUGGUGAAAAAUGGUCCUUUUGACGGUUUACUUGGAUUCUCUCAGGGUGCUACUUUAUCCGCUGCACUUCCAGGAAUGCAAUCGCAGGAGCCAAGUUUGGGGGAAAGAAGUUCGGAACGCCUAAAUUGGCUUCCAAUGCAUUUUCAAAACCGAUUAACAUCCCAUCUCUCCACUUCAUUGGUGAAGAGGACUUCUUGAAGGAAGAGGGAAUUGCAUUAUUGGAUGCAUUCGUGGACCCACUUGUUGUUCAUCAUCCAAAAGGACAUACAGUCCCCAGACUUGAUGACAAGGGUCUGGAAACUAUGUUGGCUUUCAUUGACAAGAUUCAGAGCAAUGCCAUCAAAUCUUCAUAAGCAAGGACUGAACAACCAACCUAGAGGCUUCUGAUCUGCUUAUGUAGGAGCCUGGGGACCAGUGGUUUAGAGAUAUUAAGGAAAUGCUUAUCUAUCUUCAGUCAACUGUAUUACUGUGUGGCAGGAAAAAUAAUGGAUCGGUGAUGAAAUUUGAUGCAUGUUCUAUCACGUUGGAAUGAACGCACAAGUCAAAAUAAUGUUUGCAUAUGUUCGAAGUGCACAGUUCUAUAUCAAUAGGGGAUUAUUCUAAUCUUCUAA